AUUGAACGCUGGCGGCAGGCCUGACACAUGCAAGUCGAGCGGAUGAAGGGAGCUUGCUCCUGGAUUCAGCGGCGGACGGGUGAGUAAUGCCUAGGAAUCUGCCUGGUAGUGGGGGAUAACGUCCGGAAACGGGCGCUAAUACCGCAUACGGCCUGAGGGAGAAAGUGGGGGAUCUUCGGACCUCACGCUAUCAGAUGAGCCUAGGUCGGAUUAGCUAGUUGGUGGGGUAAAGGCCUACCAAGGCGACGAUCCGUAACUGGUCUGAGAGGAUGAUCAGUCACACUGGGGCUGAGAACCGGCCCCAACUCCUACGGGAGGCAGCAGUGGGGAAUAUUGGACAAUGGGCGAAAGCCUGAUCCAGCCAUGCCGCGUGUGUGAAGAAGGUCUUCGGAUUGUAAAGCACUUUAAGUUGGGAGGAAGGGCAGUAAGUUAAUACCUUGCUGUUUUGACGUUACCAACAGAAUAAGCACCGGCUAACUUCGUG
rnacentral:rRNA from 1 species